AGCUGAGGAGGAAAGGCUCAUGGGAGAUGAAGAGUUUGGGGGUGGUAGGGCAUCUUCAAGACAACCUGAUAAUAAGGGCAGUGAUUCAAAGUCAAGUUUCUCAGGUGUCCUGCAAGUUAGCAUGAUUGGAGAAAAAAAGAAAGUAAAAGAACAGAAGCAACAUCACCUUCAAGGCUCAACAGCAAGUAUUGGAAGUGAGAACAGAGAGACAGUUUUCUUUUAUUGCUUCUUCCCGGGAAAUUAGUCAUGGUAUAUGAGAGAAGUGAUGGAAGGACAGGGGGAAAUACUCUGCCUUAGAGAAUGUCUUGCUUUCGCCUGCAGAAAGCCUGAGAUCUAGCCAAGAAAAAUUGCUUAUGAAUGUUAAUGAAUGUUCUCAUAUUGAAUGUCUGAUCUCUCUGAGGUGGGUGUUCUGUUUCUCACCACCUUCCAUAACGUCAGGAGUAUAAAACAGCUUAAAUGGCUACUAUG